UAUAAUAUUAUAAUAAUACAGAUUCAAGUUUAUUGUUAUAUUUAAACUAAAGUGAGCAUCCGCAGUCGUAGCGGAAACAGGAAACUUGUUAAGACAGUUCUAACGUAAUAUUUAGGUAAUGCUGCGAUUAUUCCAAGAUUUAAUCUUUUACGAUUCCCACAAAUCGUAAUAACAUUAAAAACAUCAAUCGCUUUAGUGAAGGCCGUAUACAUAUUCGUAAGUUGUAACAGUAUUUAUAAAACGUCAUUUUAAUUAUAUAAAUUUUAACAGCAGCUUUUGGUUUACGAUAUUACGCAAGGCCAAUAUAUAAUUGCAUAAACAUUAUAUUUGAUAUCAGCAUUCAUUUGUAAAUAUAUCAUUUGUAUCGUUUAUUGUUUAUCGAUUUAAUGAUCGUUAAAAUAAAUUCGCUGACAUGCUUAAGGACGCGAUAUCUCAUUCUUUGAAACGGUCGCCAUGCGAUAUCCCGGUGGUUUGGGUUCGAAUCAUGUGGGUAUAUCUUUACAUUCUCCUUGAAAUUGCUAUAAAAUUUGAUGAAAUAAAAACGACUCGCACCUUAAUUUCGAACAAAAUGUUACACAAAUAUUAUCAGCGUUCUAAAAUUAAAUUAAACUAGUACAAGUCAGAAGGACAGUUAAGCGUUAAAUUUAAAUUAGUUUAGUGACUGGUAUGUCAUCUAGUGAGUCACGUCCACGCCGAGGUUGAUUGUGAAAUAUCCUGUACAUCAAACAGCUUUUAGUAAAACAAGACGUUUUUAAAAUACGUUAAAUUAAUAAUUUAAAUAAUAUUACAACUUUAACAACGUUUCAACUAUGUUUCACUAACUUGGACUAGCUGUGUUUAACGGACGAUAAAAGUCACACAGAUUAUAUAUGGUGAUGUACUUAAGUUAAGGAAAAAAGGUUUUAUCUAAUUCUCAUAUUAUUUAUAGGAAAUUAUUUUGUAUAUGAAAAAGUUACAAUCUAUUUUUAAUUCAAAAUAGAGACUAAGUGAUUAUAAACCAAAAUUAACAAUCCUAGAAUUGAAUAGAUAUAUUAAUCAUUACUAAAACAGCAUUGUGGAGAUAUAAAAUGUUAUACAUAGAAUACCUAUAUAAUUCAUAAUAAUUAAUGCGUGUAUUAAAGUUGCAGGUGUGCGGAAGCAUCCGGUUUUCCUGUUCAGGAGGUUGUAUAGAGGUUGUACUGAAGUUCGCAGGUCGAAUUUGUGGAAGAAUUGUGUAAUGAAAAUAUGUAUCUCGAGAACAUUUGUGACGUCCUUGCGCUCGACAUCACGAAGGACAUCAAUAAACCAUUCAAAGUGUUUGUGUGACGGACAUAUCCAAAGGAAGUAUACCUAUAAUGGGUAAAUUUAUUGAAUUAAUAUACCUUUCUUGUUAUUUGUAUCCCGUGUUACAAUAAUUCAAAAUCUCAAUAUUAAAUUGUUUGCUCUAUCAAUGUUAGUUGUAAUAAAGUAUUUUACAGUAUACAUUUUUUUCAAAAUAUUUUAUUUACUUACUUUCUUACACGCGACACCGGAGUACCGGUUAGUGGAAGUUCCGAAAACCAAAUCAUUUAAUAUGGAAGCGUAAGGUGUCACUCCGAUUCCGCCUCCAACCAUCACUGCUACUUCAAAUUUAUACCAAUCCUGGUUACCACCUCCAAAUGGUCCCUGGAUUCUAAAUACAUGGAUUGAUAAUAUGAAAUAGAAGAGCAAUUUUAAAGAAUUUAAAUUAGAAUAUAUAAAAAGUAAUGUAAAGUUUUUUUACCUUAUUUUAGGUUGAGUUUCGGGAUUAUAAUUGCAGGGGUCAAAAUAAUUUCUGAGCUUCCAAGUCCAUGGUCCUUGUGCUUUUAUAUGGCAUGAUAAGAAAUUUUCAUGAGGUGAAGAUGUUAAGGUGAAUGAAUGAAAUUCUUCCUUUUUAAAAGCUGUACAUGCCAACCGUACCCAUUGUCCUGUAAAUAAUUAUGUUUAAAAAAUAUUCCUUUAAAUGAACUGUGUAACUUGUUGAAAUAGUCUACCUGAUAGAUAUUUUAGAUUCGGCGGCCUAUAGAAUUUUAUUUUGAUGACAUCUGAUGGCAACAUCUCAGUCUCUAGCACAUCCAAAGCCAGAUAUUUCGUACGCAAUGAUACCACCUACGAUAAUUUAACAGGUGCUAUUAGAUAAAAUUACAUUAUACUAAGGUGUUACUGCAGAAGACAGUUCAUACUUUGUCCAAAGUGUAAACAAUUGCUGGUCCAAGGAAGAAUAUCCAGAAGCGAGGAGCACCAGUUAGCCUCGCCAGUCCAUGUACAAGACACAAUGCGUAUAGUGCAACAUGCAGUGAGUGAGCGCGCCAGAACCAAGGAUAGGCCCUCUUGCGGAUCACAGGAUGGGCAAACACGAAUAUAAUGCACAUUAUUAUAAAUAAAAGAACUCCCGAUAUACCUGAAAAUGACUGUUUGGAACACCCAGUAAGUAAUACCAGGUCUAAAAUCAGAAGUGAAGUGAACCUCUUUAGUCAAACAUCUUAAGUUUUCAACUGGUUGUGUGGAUACGUGAUAGAAGUUUACCAGAUGCCCAGCUGUAUGAAGU